CCUGUCCCUGUCGUUGGGAGGGGUCUCUUCUCCGCAGCAGCAAGGAGGCGUUGGGGAUCAGGCCGCAUUCCUGCAGGCUCCUGGAGUUGUCUGCGUACACCCUCUGGGGAAAGGAGGAUUUAAUGAUGAGAGGACAUCGUGUGUGCUGCCUGGCUCCUGAAGCAACACCAGGGCUACAAGUGCAGGGCUCUGAUGCAGAAGUGUUGCCUUCCUCUCUGAGACCCUACACAUUCCCUCCCCACCAGCUGGACUGCCCUGCACUUCAGCUGCUGCACAUACUACUUCUUCUCUACAAAGCCUGCCAUGCUUUUAGAAGUCUUCUUUCAAGCCAAGAUUCACUGAGGCAGAGAAAGAAUUUAGUCCUGAUGCUGAAACACUCGUUUACUUCCUGUAACGGCUCUAGCAGGUGUGCUCCCUGCCACCCUUUCCCCAAGACCCACAUGCACAGAAUUAAGCUGCAUAUAUGCUGUGUUCAGAAACCUCAAACUUCAUCUGCUGUGGGGAGCAUCCAGCAGAAGCCAUUGCCAAAUAUGCUUGGACCCCAUACAGCACAAUCGGGUCUCAAUUAAACCACUCACGUGGUGGCUGGGAGGAAAAGCAAACAAAGCUCUCUGAUGAAGCCAGACAACAUGGAGGGGAGAGGUGAAGAAUUGUGAUGAUCAAAGCAGCAGCUUAAAAAAGACCAAGCAGCCUGAGACUGCAACAGUCUCAAACCAAAGGUGCAGAUGGCUUAGGGCAGGUGAAGCAGGUGUCUCACCUCCAUCUCCCAGACCUGGGUCUGCAGCUGAAGGCACCUAAUUUCCAGUUCCUCUGCUGUGGGUGGGUCAGGAGCAUCUGAAAGGAAAGACUUGGUUUUUCUAUGUACAGCCUUAAAGAAGGGCUAUAGGUAACCCAUGUCACACAGCACAGGUGCCCCAGCAGUACCUGCCUGCACCCCAAAGUGAACUCAAGCCCACACGACACAGGAGCUCUGCAUGCUGGUCCCUGAAAUUCAACCUGCAGCACCUUGAUAGAGAUGCUGACAGAAUAAAAGAUAGUUGUGAAUGAUUCCGGUGAGUUUUAUGCUGUGGGAAGCUGAUGUGAGCAGUGCUGUUCAUAAUUAUACAAUGAGAAUUGCUUGGCUUAGUCUUAAGGGACCCAUUAAAAAAAUGAGCAGGUGUCCACUAAAGCUGGAUCAAGAAAUCUAGGCUGUGUGGCUAGAACCGUGCAUGAUGAGGCACAAAGCACAUGUUUGUGGUUUGACAGGCAUAUUCUUGUUCUCUGCUCAGGAAAUUGAGAACUUACCACAGCUUUGUGCUAACAAGGUAGUUCAGCCAUGGUAGGAAACGUGUCUGGGCUCCGCUGGAGAGCUGCUGGAUUCCAGGGAACUGAGUCGGGGGAAGGACCUUCAGUGACUCACUCAAAGCUGGGUUCAGUUUAGAGUUAGGCUGCCUUACAGGACAAGUGAGCCUGGACCUGUAAGGCUGUUCGAGACUCCAAGUAGAUUUUUGGUUUCACUUAGCUGUGAGUGGCUGUUUUUCCAGUCUGUUUGAAGUCUGCAGACCAUCCCCAGGUAUCUGUGUGGUUGGUCUAUGCUCGUGGAAACUUAGUAACUAUAGAAAAUAGGUCAGGAAAUAAUGUUUUGUGCUGCACCAAAGAGCCCAGCAACAGAUUCAAGAAGAAAGUACAGAUCUGCCUUGGCAAACCGUGCCUCGUGUUAGUAACUGAUACCACUCCCUGCAGAGGCUCUUGGGCUUUAGGGCGAGGGUGGCUCAGCGAGGAGGUCUCCAAGGCUGCUCUGUGGCUGUGCCAGGAGCUCUGGAGCUCUCCCACAGGUGCCAAGAGUAGAACAAUUUUUACCUUCUCCUUUCUGAAGGGUCUUCAUCUUCUCUUCGAGUUCAGCAAUCCUCCUGUCCUUCAGGACCAGAACAAAUAAUGACUUUGUUUAGUUCCUUGGCCUUCAGGACCUUGAGGCACAGUAUGCACAAUCAGUCCUGGCAAGGUGAGUCAGUGGUGUGUGUAUUCUCACCGGCUCAGAGACAAAAUAAGGGUCGCAAAGGCUGUAUCACCUCACGAAUACCUUGAUUAGACUCAAAUGAGGGGUGAGAUAUAAAUACACGGCU